rnacentral:rRNA from 1 species
GCUUGUCUCAAAGAUUAAGCCAUGCAUGUCUAAGUGUAAAUAAGUCUAUACUGUGAAACUGCGAAUGGCUCAUUAAAUCAGUUAUCGUUUAUUUGAUAGUCGCUUACUACAUGGAUAACCGUGGUAAUUCUAGAGCUAAUACAUGCGUAAAGACCCGACUUCUGGGAGGGUCGUAUUUAUUAGAUGGAAACCAAUGCGGGGUAACCCGGAAUAUGGUGAUUCAUAAUAACUUUCGGAUCGAUUUAUCGAUGCAUCAUUCAAGUUUCUGCCCUAUCAGCUUUGGAUGGUAGGGUAUUGGCCUACCAUGGCUUUAACGGGUAACGGAGAAUUAGGGUUCGAUUCCGGAGAGGGAGCCUGAGAAACGGCUACCACAUCCAAGGAAGGCAGCAGG